AUGGGGUUCAGGGGUGAACGUGGAACUCUGAAUACAGUCUUGGGAAACUAUCAACAAGUGGUGAGUGGCCAAGCAAACACGGUGAUACAGUCUCCUUCCAUCCUGGACAUCUGGGAAAAAGAAACAGCUGUCAUCAACUGUACUUACACAAAUGCGGCAUUUAAUUAUUUCCCCUGGUAUAAGAGGGAUGGAAGGCGAGGCCUUACUCUCCUAGCAGACAUUCGCUCCAAUGUGAACAGACGGACGGAGGGAAGAUUCACAGUGAUGCUGGAUAAAAAUGCGAGACUCGUCUCCUUGCACAUCACAGCUGCACAAGCAGGAGAUUCAGCCUCCUACCUCUGUGCUUCAAGCACACAGUGCUCUGCAGGAACUUGUAGCCUGAAUGCAAAAGUGAAGCUGGGGCUGCAGUGA